UGUAUGUGUGUGGUCGAUCGUGAGAAGGCCAGGAGAAAGUUCUCCAUCUCAAAACCCUAAGAUACUAAAUUCCAUCAAAUUGAAAAGGGAAUCAAGGAUUUUUCAAAUGCAUGAGCCAAGAACUUCAACUAUCAAAGUGUUCUUGACAUCUAGCGGCCUUUUUGUGAUCUCGAUUACAUCUCAUCUCCAACAUAAGGUUAUCAAGACAAUCUGGGACGGGAUACAGAAGAGUGCUCCAGUAUAUGAAAAAUACAUCGUAGAAAUAAAUCUAUUAAAUUAGACAUCCUAUUUCCAUUAAGUUGUUAUGCCUUGUAAUACUUUCAAGUAUAUAUGGAAUUAUGUUUUUGAUCUGACUCUGUAAUAGUGACACGUCGAUCCAUUCCGGGUUGGGGUGUUACAAAUACCAUCAACUUGUCAUAGAAAAUCUAUCGGAGAAUUUGUUUUUCCGGCCGACUUUGUUAUCUUAGACAUGGAAGAGGACACUGAAAUCCUGUUCAUAUUAGGAAGGCCUUUCCUUGUCACCGCAAAGGCUAUGGUGGAUAUGAGCGACGGGAAACUAACAUUCAGGGUUGUUGAAAAGGAGAUCAAGUUUGAGGUGGGACAGCGAGCGGAGGAUGAUCCGGUCAAAUACCUCAAAGCGAUUGACUCAAGCCUAGACGACGCUCUUCAAGGAUACAACUCAGGAUGCGAGUCAUCCCGCUUGGGUAACAUUUGACCGACUUUGGGUCUAGCCAAGGACCCUUAUAAACAUGGCGCACCAUGGAGGCAUUCCAUGGACUAUCCAUUAGUUAAGUAGUUUUCUAAGUUUAAUCUUUAGUUUAAUGUCUCUUUUAAGUUUUAUCUUUGUAGGAAUAAAGCACGCUCAAAAAAGGAUGAUGGACGAUGAAAAAUGGAUCCCAAGCAUAUAAACAAGAACCACCCGCUUUAAAAACUGCAAAUCAGUGUCCGUAGCACGGGGCCGUGCCACCAGGCACGCCCCCGUGCUCAACUGUCUGAUGUCCAAAAAGUUUCUGCCGAGAAGGUGGCACAGGCUGUGCUCACUCAGCAUGCCCCCAUGUCCAUUAUACUUUAAAAGAAAGAGCUGAGAAGCUUGAAUAUCACAAACAAAGAGAGCAGAAAUUCAUGGAGAAGAAGAAUGAGAAGAAGGAGCUGCUGCGUCGCCAAAGUUCCGUAUGGAUUGAUGAAAAUGAACUCGAGAAAAGGAUAUUGAAUGCCAUUAUGGAUGAGUCCUAAGGUAACCAUGCUUUCAACUCGCAUUUUUUAAACUUUUUUUUUUUUGCUCUUGUUAGAACUCAAGAUGUAGACUUGAAGCACACUGUUAGAAACUGGAAAUUCGAUUGAUUCAAACAAAAACAAGAACAGGAUAGUUGGCCAAUUCGAGAAGGCUAAUCUCCGCUUCUAAGGUAUAAAACCCUAAUUCAGAUAAACAAAAACAACGACCUAAAAAUGGACAAAUCUAGAAAUAUAAAUACUAAAAAUAUGCAGCAGUUUCUGCCCACGUCUCCACCUCCUUAAUUCUCGACUAAUCCCCUGUUUUCUUGGUCUUUUUUCCCGCCAAUUAAUUUUCCUCCGCCUCUUUUCCCCCCAUCCAAUCGCAACUGCUCUGACCCAAUUUGACCUGGCCCGGUUUGGCCCAACAUCGGUUUCGUAUCACACACAUGCUGGUGUGAGGCCAAGAAACCCUUGAUUUUAUGGUUGUAAGUGCAAGCAUGCACACGGAAUAAGUCUAAAAAUGUGUUUCAUUGGUCUUUCACUUGUGGGCAUGAAUUGAAUUUUUUUUUAUAUCAUUACGGUUGGAUGGUUGGUUGUUAGUUAACUAAAUAUGUUGAAUCAUAAACAUAAUUCUAUAUUGAUUCACAGUGAUAUAAGAGGUGUCCAUUUUCUUGUCCA